rnacentral:rRNA from 11 species
GGGUAGUUUGACUGGGGCGGUCGCCUCCCAAAUGGUAACGGAGGCGCGCGAUGGUGGGCUCAGACCGGUCGGAAAUCGGUCGUUGAGUGCAAUGGCAUAAGCCUGCCUGACUGCGAGAGCGACAGUUCGAGCAGAGACGAAAGUCGGUCAUAGUGAUCCGGUGGUCCCGAGUGGAAGGGCCAUCGCUCAACGGAUAAAAGGUACUCCGGGGAUAACAGGCUGAUGAUGCCCAAGAGU